CAGUCGCCACGGGAAUACGUAGGUGGCAAGCGUUGUCCGGAAUUAUUGGGCGUAAAGGGCUCGCAGGCGGUUUCUUAAGUCUGAUGUGAAAGCCCCCGGCUCAACCUGGGAAUGGCAAUGGAUACUGGCAAGCUAGAGUGUGUCAGAGGAUGGUGGAAUUCCCGGUGUAGCGGUGAAAUGCGUAGAUAUCGGAAGGAACACCUGUGGCGAAAGCGGCUCACUGGACCAUUUCUGACGCUGAUGCACGAAAGCUAGGGGAGCAAACAGGAUUAGAUACCCCUGUAGUCCCUGUCUCUUAUAC
rnacentral:rRNA from 1 species